rnacentral:rRNA from 1 species
GCCAUGAAGGCCACUAGAAUAAGUAGCUACUAACUACGUGCCAGCAGUCGCGGUAAUACGUAGGCUACAAGCGUUACUCGGAUUUAUUGGGCGUAAAGGGUCUGUAGACGGUUUUCUAAGUCUUGUUUCAAAGACCUCGACUUAAUCGAGGAAAGGGGCAAGAUACUGGAAGACUAGAGUGGUAUCGGGGUUACUGGAAUUUUUGGUGUAGGGGUUAAAUCCGUGGAUACUAAAAAGAACACCAAGCGCGAAGGCGGGUAACUAGGUAUUUACUGACGUUCAGAGACGAAAGCUAGGGUAGCAAAUCAGAUUAGGGACCUGAGUAGUCCUAGCCGUAAACAUUGUCCGUUAGUUCUUCCCAAUUUUUAUUGGGAGGGAUGUUAGCAAACGCGUUAAACGGAUCGCCUGGGGAGUAUAGCCGCAAGGCCGAAACUCAAACGAAUUGGCGGGGAGGCGCACAACCAGUGGAGCAUGUGGUUCAAUUCGAUACAAAGCGAUGAACCUUACCUGGGUUUGAAAUGCACCUGCAGGCUCCUGAAAGGGAGCGUCCUUCGAGGGUGGUGCACAGCUGUUGCAUGGCUGUCGUCAGCUCGUGACGUGAGUUGUUCUCUUAAGUGAGGUAACGAGCGCAACCCCCGUUCUGUGUUAUUGUGUCACAGAAGACUGCCUAGCAUUAUUUUGUUAGGAGGAAGGAGGGGACGACGUCAAGUCAUCAUGAUGCUUAUAUCCAGGGCUACACACAUCCUACAAUGGGCUAUAACAGAGGGUUGCAAGACCGCAAGGUGGAGCUAAUCCCUAAACUAGCCCUCAGUUGGGAUUGCAGGCUGAAACUCGCCUGCAUGAACCCGGAAUUGGUAGUAAUCGCACAUCAGCAGCGUGCGGUGAAUACGUUCUCGCCUCUUGCACACACCGCCCGU